CCGGCGAUGUCCGAAUGGGGAAACCCAGUGCAAUUCGUUGCACUAUCGUUAACUGAAUACAUAGGUUAACGAGGCGAACCGGGGGAACUGAAACAUCUAAGUACCCCGAGGAAAAGAAAUCAACCGAGAUUCCCCCAGUAGCGGCGAGCGAACGGGGAGCAGCCCAGAGUCUGAAUCAGCUUGUGUGUUAGUGGAACGGUCUGGAAAGUCCGACGGUACAGGGUGAUAGUCCCGUACACCAAAAUGCACAGGCUGUGAACUCGAAGAGUAGGGCGGGACACGUGGUAUCCUGUCUGAAUAUGGGGGGACCAUCCUCCAAGGCUAAAUACUCCUGACUGACCGAUAGUGAACCAGUACCGUGAGGGAAAGGCGAAAAGAACCCCGGCGAGGGGAGUGAAAAAGAACCUGAAACCGUGUACGUACAAGCAGUGGGAGCACCUUCGGGUGUGACUGCGUACCUUUUGUAUAAUGGGUCAGCGACUUAUAUUCUGUAGCAAGGUUAACCGUAUAGGGGAGCCGCAGGGAAACCGAGUCUUAACUGGGCGUUAAGUUGCAGGGUAUAGACCCGAAACCCGGUGAUCUAGCCAUGGGCAGGUUGAAGGUUGGGUAACACUAACUGGAGGACCGAACCGACUAAUGUUGAAAAAUUAGCGGAUGACUUGUGGCUGGGGGUGAAAGGCCAAUCAAACCGGGAGAUAGCUGGUUCUCCCCGAAAGCUAUUUAGGUAGCGCCUCGUGAACUCAUCUUCGGGGGUAGAGCACUGUUUCGGCUAGGGGGUCAUCCCGACUUACCAACCCGAUGCAAACUACGAAUACCGAAGAAUGUUAUCACGGGAGACACACGGCGGGUGCUAACGUCCGUCGUGAAGAGGGAAACAACCCAGACCGCCAGCUAAGGUCCCAAAGUCAUGGUUAAGUGGGAAACGAUGUGGGAAGGCACAGACAGCCAGGAUGUUGGCUUAGAAGCAGCCAUCAUUUAAAGAAAGCGUAAUAGCUCACUGGUCGAGUCGGCCUGCGCGGAAGAUGUAACGGGGCUAAACCAUGCACCGAAGCUGCGGCAGCGACACUAUGUGUUGUUGGGUAGGGGAGCGUUCUGUAAGCCUGCGAAGGUGUGCUGUGAGGCAUGCUGGAGGUAUCAGAAGUGCGAAUGCUGACAUAAGUAACGAUAAAGCGGGUGAAAAGCCCGCUCGCCGGAAGACCAAGGGUUCCUGUCCAACGUUAAUCGGGGCAGGGUGAGUCGACCCCUAAGGCGAGGCCGAAAGGCGUAGUCGAUGGGAAACAGGUUAAUAUUCCUGUACUUGGUGUUACUGCGAAGGGGGGACGGAGAAGGCUAUGUUAGCCGGGCGACGGUUGUCCCGGUUUAAGCAUGUAGGCUGAUUGUCCAGGCAAAUCCGGAUAAUCAAGGCUGAGGUGUGAUGACGAGGCACUACGGUGCUGAAGUAACAAAUGCCCUGCUUCCAGGAAAAGCCUCUAAGCAUCAGGUAACAUCAAAUCGUACCCCAAACCGACACAGGUGGUCAGGUAGAGAAUACCAAGGCGCUUGAGAGAACUCGGGUGAAGGAACUAGGCAAAAUGGUGCCGUAACUUCGGGAGAAGGCACGCUGGUGUGUAGGUGAAGUCCCUGCGGAUGGAGCUGAGACCAGUCGAAGAUACCAGCUGGCUGCAACUGUUUAUUAAAAACACAGCACUGUGCAAACACGAAAGUGGACGUAUACGGUGUGACGCCUGCCCGGUGCCGGAAGGUUAAUUGAUGGGGUUAUCCGUAAGGAGAAGCUCUUGAUCGAAGCCCCGGUAAACGGCGGCCGUAACUAUAACGGUCCUAAGGUAGCGAAAUUCCUUGUCGGGUAAGUUCCGACCUGCACGAAUGGCGUAAUGAUGGCCAGGCUGUCUCCACCCGAGACUCAGUGAAAUUGAACUCGCUGUGAAGAUGCAGUGUACCCGCGGCAAGACGGAAAGACCCCGUGAACCUUUACUAUAGCUUGACACUGAACAUUGAGCCUUGAUGUGUAGGAUAGGUGGGAGGCUUUGAAGCGUGGACGCCAGUCUGCGUGGAGCCAACCUUGAAAUACCACCCUUUAAUGUUUGAUGUUCUAACGUUGGCCCCUUACCGGGGUUGCGGACAGUGUCUGGUGGGUAGUUUGACUGGGGCGGUCUCCUCCCAAAGCGUAACGGAGGAGCACGAAGGUUAGCUAAUCCUGGUCGGACAUCAGGAGGUUAGUGCAAUGGCAUAAGCUAGCUUGACUGCGAGCGUGACGGCGCGAGCAGGUGCGAAAGCAGGUCAUAGUGAUCCGGUGGUUCUGAAUGGAAGGGCCAUCGCUCAACGGAUAAAAGGUACUCCGGGGAUAACAGGCUGAUACCGCCCAAGAGUUCAUAUCGACGGCGGUGUUUGGCACCUCGAUGUCGGCUCAUCACAUCCUGGGGCUGAAGUAGGUCCCAAGGGUAUGGCUGUUCGCCAUUUAAAGUGGUACGCGAGCUGGGUUUAGAACGUCGUGAGACAGUUCGGUCCCUAUCUGCCGUGGGCGCUGGAGAAUUGAGGGGGGCUGCUCCUAGUACGAGAGGACCGGAGUGGACGCAUCACUGGUGUUCGGGUUGUCAUGCCAAUGGCACUGCCCGGUAGCUAAAUGCGGAAGAGAUAAGUGCUGAAAGCAUCUAAGCACGAAACUUGCCCCGAGAUGAGUUCUCCCUGAGACUUUAAGUCUCCUGAAGGAACGUUAAAGACGAUGACGUUGAUAGGCCGGGUGUGUAAGCGCAGCGAUGCGUUGAGCUAACCGGUACUAAUGAACCGUGAGGCUUAACCUU
rnacentral:rRNA from 1 species